UACGUAGGGGGCAAGCGUUGUCCGGAAUCAUUGGGCGUAAAGAGCGUGUAGGCGGCCCGAUAAGUCCGCCGUGAAAGUCCAGGGCUCAACCCUGGAAUGCCGGUGGAAACUGUCGGGCUGGAGUCCGGAAGAGGCGAGUGGAAUUCCUGGUGUAGCGGUGAAAUGCGUAGAUAUCGGGAGGAAUACCGGUGGCGAAAGCGACUCUCUGGACGGUAACUGACGCUGAGGCACGAAAGCGUGGGGAGCAAACAGG
rnacentral:rRNA from 1 species